UACGGAAGGGGCAAGCGUUGUUCGGAAUUAUUGGGCGUAAAGGGCGUGUAGGUGGUUCUGUAUGUCUACCGUGAAAGCGUACGGCUCAACCGUAUUUAGUCGGUGGAAACUGCAGGACUUGAGGCUGGGAGGGGCUGGUGGAAUUCCCCGUGUAGCGGUGAAAUGCGUAGAGAUGGGGGAGAACACUCGUGGCGAAGGCGGCCAGCUAGACCAGUUCUGACACUGAGGCGCGACAGCGUGGGGAGCAAACAGG
rnacentral:rRNA from 2 species